UUGGUACCAAGACAACCCCAUUUAUCCCAGACAAGACUACUCAGCUUUAAGAAAAGUGCAGACUCAGCUGGGAAGAGGAAUUACUGCCAAGGCAGAAGUGCAUUGGCUCCGGCUCUUAGUGUGUUCUCCUGUGACUCCUCCAAACAACUUGCCCUGAAUCCAGUCCAGGUGAGAUUGGUACUUACCAUACACUGGGGAAGAGAUAACUAGUGAGUGAAGGAUAUGGAGAGAGAUCCAGAGCAAGAGAUGGGGACUGUGAUGAGUAGAAGAAAUUGGGGCUAACACUUGCUGGGAACAUCACAGCUCUAGGCAAAGGGAGCUAUUAGAAGAUUGUGGUGUGAUGCCACUGCCUGGCAGUCAACUGGAAGAUGUGGGUGAGAAUCGGAAGGAAUCACCAAUGCCCAAGGAAGCUUCUUGGACUUGAGUCUUUUCUCUCAGGGCUUGUGGAAGCACCACUCAUCCAAGGAUAAAUAAAU
rnacentral:lncRNA from 13 species